AUUACUAUCUUCAUUAAUAUGCAAUCAUUGACUAUUUCCUAUUUUUAAUUUCAGGAGCAUUUGCAAAGUUAUGGAAUGAUCUAACAACAUCAGGGUCAAAACUUUUGGCGACUUUUACAAACAGGUUUAUUCGAAUGACUGUUAGAAAAAACUAUACAUCAAUAUCAAGAUAAUUAACUGUACAUUUAUUCUACCUAAUAUAACGGUACUAUUGAAUGUAGUUUACUAUUGCUAAAAACAUUAUAACACAAGAAGGCACGUAAAACAGUCUUUCCCAUAAACAAUUGUGAAUAAAAUGACGUUUUCUUUUGCAAGGAGAGUCUUUAAAAAGUUGAAACUAGAGGAAAAGUAUGCACAAAAACAAAUAAGCACGGUUAUAACAAGAUUGUUUCAAUGAAAAAAAAAAAACCAAAGGUAGGGUAAUUUAUCAGACAGUUAGUCUUAAACGCAUUCGAACACAUAUAUGUCUAUAUAACUUUUUGUCUAUAUGUCUGUUUGUCUAUAUGCCUUUUUGUGUUUAUUUCUUAUAUAUGACAUGGCUUUAUACUUAUACAUCCCAUCAUUGUAUUAUUGUGCCAUGGUUAAUGUUUGUUAAUAUUUUUGUUUGUUUUAUAGGAAUUAAGAUAAUAACACAAUGUUGACUGCUGUGCCUCUAUUUCCGACAUUUUUACCUGUUAUGUCUGUUUGUUUUGUUCACAAAUCGUUGUCAAUAUAAUGGAUUUUAAUACGACAGUCAUACCAGGGAGAGGUUUAACUAGCCUUAAAACCAAUUAAAUCCACCAUUUUUUAUAGAAUGAAAAUGCCUGUACCAAGUCAGAAAUAUGACAGUUGGUGUUCAUUCGUUUGGUAUAGUCACUAUUUUCUAUUGUACAUAAAUUAUUAACUUCAUAAAUGUUUAAUUAUUGACUCUUUCUAUUAUUAAUUUCAGGAGAAUUUCCCAACUUGUGGAAUAAUCUCACAACAUCAGAAGGAAAAGUUUGGCGACUUUUAUAAACAGGUAAAUUCGAUGGACUGUUAGAAAAAAGCAAUAUAUCAAGAUCAAGAUCAAGAUUAUCAACUGUACAUGCAUUCUAUCUAAUAUAACGGCACUAUUAAAUGUGGUUUAAUAUUGCUAAACAAAUAAACAAAUAAAAAAGGUGUGCACGCAAAACGGUCUUAUCCAAAAGCAAUUACAAAUAAAAUGAUGUUUUUUUUUCUAUUGCAAGGAGAGUCAUUAAAAAGUCGAAACAAGUGACAAAGUGUGUGUAAUGCACAGUACGUCAAAACAAAAAUAUCAAGCAUACAUCAUACACAUUUGGUAAAUACACAUCCAUACCCCUUAGGCAAUUCAAGAGAUGUUCCGAAAAGUGUAAUUAUACCCUUUUUGUACCUGGCCUAAUCACUAUUUCCAUAUAAACAUCAGUUAAAAAGAAAAAUCCAAAGUUUUAUUUAAGCUCUCUUCUAUCAUUUCCACCCCAGAAAAACUAAGAAAUCUGAGGAAGGGAAAGAAAAAAAUAAAGACAAAAAACACUAUUAUUAAAGGGAACUAUAUUCGUAGACAACGAAAAGCGGGAUCAUUAAUUGUGGUUUUGGGCCAAUAAGAUAUCUGACUCUGAGUUUUACUGUGCGUGAUUUCGUGUCUAUGUUUAUUCUACAUUGUUUAGAGGUGUUAGAUGGUCUAACAAUACAUAUGUAUGUCCAAGUCAGGAGCCUCCGUCUUUUGUUAGUCUUGUUUAUGUGUUGUCAAUUGAAUUAAUUGUUUUCUAAAUAUUGGACUUGUGUGUAACUUCUAUUUUCAAUGCAUACGUACACAUGUUAAGGGGCCAGCUGCAUGAAGCCCGCCUUCGGUCGCUGAAAUUUUCCCGCUGUGAAGAGCCAAUGGGUGAUCUUGAGCUCUUUUUUGCCCUUUGAUCGGGUUGUUGCCUUUGUUACACGUUCCACAUUUCCAUUCUUAAUGUUAUCAUACACAUUUAAGGAUAAUUGUCAUGUUCCAGACACGUGUAGGUAUUCCGUCGUGUGUUCUGCGGGUAAACUAAUUAAUAAAAAUUCACAUCUUUUUGGUCAUGAUUGUACCUUUUAGUAUAUUUCUCAUGUUCAAAAUUAGGUGAUACACACAUAGUGCGCACGUAUACAUAAUUAACAAGUUCUUCAAUAUGUUUUAAAAUACUGUCGACAAUUUGAAUAUUCAAAACACAUAUAUUGAAACAAAUUUCAUUUCAUUCUAGAUCUACUCAUUAAAAAUAAAACAAAAUUAUGCAGUUUUGAUCAUCCUUUUAAAUUUUUAUAUUGCGAAGUAAUUUCAAUUCAAAAUGAAAAAUGCAUUUUUCAUUUUUCAACAUUUAAAGUCAAAUUACAAAAUACUUAAUGUCAGCAAUUCCAAUUUUUCUUCUGAAAUGAACUUAUAUUAUUUUAUUUCUAAAACAAGCAGCUGCAAAUCAUUUGAUGUAUUCAAACUGUUGAAAUUUUAUCUUUUUUUAAUAUCCUCGUGAAAUCAAAAAAAUUAAUUCCAUAUUGAUAACAAAUUUCAAUUAUCAUUAAGAAAAUGAUUUUUCAAAAGUCACUUCAAAAGAGUUUUGCCUUAUGUUUAAAGUGUGAAGAGCAAUUUGCUAAAUUUAUUUUUUUCUGUUAAAAAUGCCAUUUGUUUGGCGUAAAUAUACACGGUCUUCUGUUGUACAUUGAUUACCUAGUACUUCAUUUAUUUAGUAUUCAAUUAUUGACUAUUUUUUAUUAUUAAUUUCAGGAGAAUUUCUCAACUUGUGGAAUAAUCUUUAAACAGAAGAACAAAAACUUUCGGCGACUUUUACAAGGUUUGGACCUACUUAAAAAAAAA
rnacentral:lncRNA from 1 species